UACGGGGGGGGCAAGCGUUGUUCGGAAUUACUGGGCGUAAAGGGCGCGUAGGUGGCCCGACAAGUCAAUGGUGAAAGCUCGACGCUCAACGUCGAGUCGGCCACUGAUACUGUUGGGCUGGAGCACUGUAGAGGCUCAUGGAAUUCCGGGUGUAGCGGUGGAAUGCGUAGAGAUCCGGAAGAACACCGGUGGCGAAGGCGGUGAGCUGGGCAGUAGCUGACACUGAGGCGCGACAGCGUGGGGAGCAAACAGG
rnacentral:rRNA from 1 species